rnacentral:rRNA from 1 species
UACGUAGGGGGCUAGCGUUGUCCGGAUUUAUUGGGCGUAAAGAGCGUGUAGGCGGCCAGGUAGGUCUGCUGUGAAAACUCGAGGCUCAACCUCGAGACGUCGGCGGAAACCAUCUGGCUAGAGUCCGGAAGAGGAGAGUGGAAUUCCUGGUGUAGCGGUGAAAUGCGCAGAUAUCAGGAAGAACACCAGUGGCGAAGGCGGCCGGCUGGGGGGCGCCCUGACGCUGAGGCGCGAGAGCGUGGGGAGCAAACCGGG